AUUAUUCCGAGGUUUUGAAAACACCAAAACCUCAGAAACAGGAAAACGCCAGAAGCAAUUCUGCAAAUUCCUCUGAAAAUAACUCUGAAAAAUCCAAUGCCAAUGGGAAUAAACGCCCCUGGGUUAAUAAGAACCAAGGCAAUUCCAAUGCAGAAGGAAUCCUCAGGGAAAUAGGAGAUAUGGGAACAGAAACAAACAAUCUGCUUCCAAUAACUCCCAACAGUCUCAGCCAUCCCAACCAAAUUCUAAUGGGCAAAGACAAAACGGC